rnacentral:rRNA from 1 species
AACGUAGGAGACGAACGUUAUCCGGAGUUACUGGGCGUAAAGGGCGUGUAGGCGGUUAGUUAAGUCUGGCGUGAAAGCUCUCGGCUAAACCGGGAGAGGUCGUUGGAUACUGGCGAACUGGAGGAUGGUAGAGGCGUGUGGAAUUCCGGGUGUAGUGGUGAAAUGCGUAGAGAUCCGGAGGAACACCAGUGGCGAAGGCGACACGCUGGGCCAUACCUGACGCUAAAGCGCGACAGCAUGGGGAGCAAACGGG